UGACCGCCUGGGGAGUACGCCGCAAGUUAAACUCAAAUGAAUUGACGGGGGCCCGCACAAGCGUGGAGCAUGUGUUAUUCGACGCAACGCGAAGAACCUUACCUGACCUUGACAUCACAGGAACCUCACUGAAGGGUGAGGGUGCCUUCGGGAACCUGUAGACAGGUGCUGCAUGGCUGUCGUCAGCUCGUGUCGUGAGAUGUUGGGUUAAGUCCCGCAACGAGCGCAACCCUUGCUACCAGUUGCCAUCACGUUAUGGUGGGCACUCUGGUGGGACUGCCGGUGACAAGCCGGAGGAAGGUGGGGAUGACGUCAAGUCAUCAUGGCUCUUACGAGUUGGGCUACACACGUGCUACAAUGGCAACUACAAAGAGGAUCGAGGCUGUGAGGCCAAGGCAAUCUUAAAAAGUUGUCUCAGUUCGGAUUGUUCUCUGCAACUCGAGAACAUGAAGUUGGAAUCGCUAGUAAUCGCGGAACAGCAUGCCGCGGUGAAUACGUUCCCGGGUCUUGUACACACCGCCCGUCACGCCAUGGGAGUUGGUUCUGCCUGACGGCGUUGAGGUAACCUAGCAAUAGGAGCCUGGCGACCACGGUAGGGUCAGCGACUGGGGCG
rnacentral:rRNA from 1 species